rnacentral:lncRNA from 1 species
CAUUUGACUGAAUUCUUGCAGCACGGCAUCUUGGACAGAAGAAAUUCCAGCUCCCCUUUAGUCUGUAACCCACAUAGCAGAGCAAAAAAGAUUCUUAAUUUUGAUAAUUGAAUUCAGAUAUGUUGGUAUAUGGUAAGUAAAUGAAGGAGAAAUGUGGGUUGUUUUUUCUUUCUUUUUCUUUUUGCUUACUUGGGGUUGGGGUGGGGUGGGGUGGAAAGGCGGAGAUGAGGUACCACCGGCGGCGAGGAUAUGUUGGUAUUUGGUAGGUAUUUGAACGAGAAAUGUGGGUUCUCUCUUUCUUUUUCUUUUCUUUUUUGCUUACUUGGGGUUGGGGUGGGGGUGGAAGGGCGGAGAUGGGGUAGUGUACCACCGGCGGCGAUAUAGUGCCGUACCGGUUGGUGUAAGAAGGAGAAGGGUAGUUAUAUAUAUAUAUAUAUGGUGGAAAAAAAAUAAUAGUAGUAGAGAUUGGUUGGAGGCUUGGAAUCUUUGCUGACACCGGUAAGUUAAAGUGAAGUGUGUAUUAUAAAGGUGGCUGAGUGUAUUAUGGAAUGAUGAUCUGUGAUUUCUCUUGUAUUUUAGUUUAACACAUUUAUGUCUUUCCUUCCUGUGGAGUUUGGGACUCUACCAGUCUACACUAUUAAAAAUAUUCUCUAGGCAUUUGGACAAUAAUUGAAUUCUAGUUGAAAACAUGUAUUUGAUAAAUAAAUUUGUAUAAAUUAAAGAUUUGUGAAUUAAAGACAAUAUUUUUAAUAUUUCCCUAUGUUGAAAUUACAACCACAACACAAUAAUAUACCAGUAUAUUUCUAUACUUGAGGUUUGGGCGAGAGUAGUGCGUACACAAAUCUUAUCCAUACCUACUGAAGGUAGAUAGGUUGUUUCCAAUAGACUCUCGACUCUCACGUCUUGUCCUCCACGGAAGUCACUCCCACUUUGUCCAGAAUAACUUCAUUCUU